AUAAAUAAAAAAUUAAAAAAAAAAAAGCCAAGAAAGUUGAGGUUUCAAGUAUUUAAAAAAAGGGUUGCCGGCGGGGGUUCCUCGGGAGGCGGGGCGUGGACGGGGAGGUGGAGACCAGCACGUAGACGCAGGUCGGGGCGGGGAGGACUCAGGAGGUUGGGGAGGACUCAGGAGGUCCGGGAGGACUCGGGAGGUGGGGGAGGACUCAGGAGGUCCGGGAGGACUCGGGAGGUCAGAGAGGACUCAGGAGGUCGGGGAGGAGUCAGAAGGUCGGGAGGACUCAGGAGGUCGGGAGGAGUCAGGAGGUCAAGAGGAGUCAGGAGGUCAGGAGGGGUCAGGAAGUGGGGAGGACUCAAGAGGUCGGGGAGGAGUCAGGAGGUGGGGGAGGAGUCAGGUCGUGGAGGAGUCAAGAGGUGGGGGAGGAUUCAGGAGGUCCGGAAGGAGUCAGGAGGUGGGGGAGGACUCAGGAGGUCCGGGAGGAGUCAGGAGGUCGGAGAGGACUCAGGAGGUCAGAGAGGACUCAGGAGGUCAGGGAGGAGUCAGGAGGUGGGGGAGGAUUCAGGAGGUCCGGGAGGAGUCAGGUCGGGGAGGAGUCACGAGGUGGGGGAGGAUUCAGGAGGUGGGGGAGGAGUCAGGAGUUGGGGGAGGAGUCAGGAGGUCGGGAGGACUCAGGAGGUCGGGAGAGGUCAGGAGGUGGGGGAGGACUCAGGAGGUCAGAGAGGACUCAGGAGGUCGGGGAGGAGUCAGGAGGUGGGGGAGGAGUCAGGAGGUGGGGGAGGAGUCAGGUCGGGGAGGAGUCACGAGGUGGGGGAGGAUUCAGGAGGUGGGGGAGGAGUCAGGAGUUGGGGGAGGAGUCAGGAGGUGGGGGAGGACUCAGGAGGUCCGGGAGGACUGAGGAGGGCGCGGGCCGUCGCGGGGAGGGCGGCGGGGCUGCGGCGCGGGGUGCUGGCGCGGGGAGGGCCCCUCAGCCCUGGGGCGGGGCAGCUGGCCCCCGGCCGCCCACUUCCUUCAGCCCCAGGAGGUGCGCUGGGAAGGCGCCCAGGGCCGGGCACGCCGCCUCCCGGGCUGACGUCCUUCCUGGAGGGGGCGGCGCUGCCGGCGGUGGGCGUCGCGGUCCCCGCUGCUCCCCGCACCGGAGCGUUGCAGAGGAACCUUUGCGCUAGCUCCUCCAGGGCGCGGGCGCACACGCACACACGCACACACGCACACACACACACUCGGUCUGCACUCCUGGAGGCGGACCGGAUCCUCUCACGUACACACACGCACACGCACACACACUCGGUCUGCCCUGCUGAAGAUGGACCGGACCUUCCAGGGGGCUCUUUGUGCCCCUCCUCCAGCGCGCGCUUACGCAUACGGUCCAUGGUACCGGCAAAUGCCUUUUUGGGAUUUUGCCUUGAAGAAGAGGGACACAGAGAGGCUACCAGGUGCUGGUUCUGA
rnacentral:lncRNA from 1 species